ACGUGGGCAACAAAGGAACUGAGGA
rnacentral:piRNA from 1 species